rnacentral:rRNA from 1 species
GACGAACGCUGGCGGCGUGCUUAACACAUGCAAGUCGAACGGAAAGGCCCUGCUUCUUUGGGGUGCUCGAGUGGCUAGCGGGUGAGUAACACGUGAGUAACCUGCCCUUCACUUUGGGAUAACUUCAGGAAACUGGGGAUAAUACCGGCUAGAAGCUCCUGCUGCAUGGCGGGGGUUGGAAAGUUUCGGCGGUUGGUGAUGGACUCGCGGCUUAUCAGCUUGUUGGUGGGGUAGUGUCUUACCAAGGCUUUGACGGGUAGCCGGACUGAGACGGUGACAGGCCACAUUGGGACUGAGAAAGCGCCAGGACUCCUACGGCAGGAAGCGGUGGGGAACAUUGCACAAUGGGCCGAAGCCGGAUGCAGCACCGCCGCGUGCGGGAUGACUGCCUUCGGGUUGUAAACCGCUUUCGCCUAUGACGAAGCGUGAGUGACGGUAAUGGGUAAAGAAGCACCGGCUAACUACGUG